UACGUAGGGCGCAAGCGUUUGUCCGGAAUUAUUGGGCGUAAAGAGCUCGUAGGCGGUUUGUCGCGUCUGCUGUGAAAACCUAAGGCUCAACCUUGGGCUUGCAGUGGGUACGGGCAGACUGGAGUGUGGUAGGGGAGACUGGAAUUCCUGGUGUAGCGGUGGAAUGCGCAGAUAUCGAGAGGAACACCGGUGGCGAAGGCGGCCAACUGGACGAAGACUGACGCUGAGACACGAAAGCGUGGGGAGCAAACAGG
rnacentral:rRNA from 1 species